GUGCCCUGACCAGGACAUUAAAACAGUGAGAUAUAUGUAAGAGAAAUGUCAGAGCAGGUAUACCAUCUGCAAUCUUGUGCAACACUGGCACAGAUCCCACAGGAGUAUGUUCUAAAAUAAGUCUGGCAACUCAUUGACCAGCUGCUUUGAUAGUACAGGAACGAGAAGGACCUUUGGACUGUACAGACUCCUUAUUAAAACUGUGCAGCCGAGCACAGACAGCUGAGCUUCGACAGAUUAGUUCAGUAGCAUGUCCAGCGGAGUCCCAGUCAACGCGAGAAAUCACGAGACUACAGUCCACCCUUUGACGGAGAGCUGCGAUUGGUCAGACUGACUGAAAGUCCCGCCCACUCGUUGUGUUUACAGCAUGCAGUGGUUUAGAGAUGCUGCGGCUAGCAACGUAGGCAUCAUAGUGGAGCUAAACUCUACAGCCUUGGUCUGGAUCAUUGGGAACAUCUGGUCUGAUGGACUGAGAGCUCCAGAGAACAUGAACAUCCAGCUGUGGUUGUCUGAAGAGUCUUUUCUCCUUCAUCAUUGUGAGGAAGAGCAGCACUAAUGUCCUCCUCAUCCUUCCAGUAAUAACAAUAAUGCUGCAGAUUCAGCUCCUCUCUUCAUAAUACAACUUGUCUUGUGACUGUUCAGUUUUAACAUUUCACUGUCAACAAAACACAUUAUUUAUUUCAUCCAUUUAUCUUUACAGUUCAGAAUUGUUAAAUAAUGUAGUUUUUAAAUGUGCAAUAAAGAUAAUAAUGAAGCUCUUUCCCUGAAUGUAUUGGUUUUAAUGCUACAUAUCUGCUAUAAAUAACAUGGACUUUUUAUGCUGUAUUUCUGCUAAAACAGCAGAGAUGAAGUUAAAGGUGAUAAAUGGAACGUGUGAAUACUAAGAACAGAGAAUAAACAGCUGGAACAGUU